GGUGAUGGACAGAGAGGCCUGGCAUGCUGUGAUUCAUGGGGUUGCAAAGAGUCGACACGACUGAGCGACUGAACUGAACUGAAUGUAAUCCAGUUGUCAUCAGGCAUCUGGGAAGUCUCUUUGGGGAAUGACACCAUAUCAGGGACUCAGUAUUAGUCUGUGUCAUUGACAGAUUGGGCACUGAGCAGUAGCAUCAGCGAGGUCAAACAUUGUAAGGGGAAAUCAGUGUUUUUGAGCUCAUGCAUGACUUUCAGCACUGCUAGCAAGGCCGGAUCAUGAGAUCAUGAGGCCAAAGUGAUGAAGCAGGUUGCACUGAGAUGUUCCUUCCUCUGCCAUCUCUGCAACUUUUGAGAGGAAUUUGAGAAGGAUCAGUGUUAACUCUUUCUUAAAUAUUUGGUAGACUGACUCUAUAGCUUUGGAGUCCAGUUCUCUGACCAUAUUGGAGAUUCUGAGGCAAAUCCAAUAUUAAUUAACUUAUUCCUUUUCUAUUUAAUUCAUCCAGAGUCAGUGUCUGUUACUCAUAAGUAAGAACCCUGACUCAUAUACAAUCUCAUUCCAGCAUGAAGCAAGUAGGAAAAAAGAAGGACAGGGUAUCAGAAGUGACUGAAGAAGUCUAACCGUGCUCCUCAGAGGUACUCUGUAAAUAUUGGGCAUCAGUGUUCUUUCUUCAUUGAGUUUUUAGUGCAUAAAAUUGUAUCUGUAUCCAUUCUCACUCUAGGCUGGAACUGGAGUUCAAUAAAGGCAGAGAAUAGAACAGCUUUGCAAUCUUCUCUGAACCAGCCCUAACACACUUCACCUUCCUCAGGUGGUUCUCUCAGCAGGAUGAUGCUGCCCCCACAAGAUGGCAGUUCCUGUCUCUUCAGACUCACUGUGUUUGGAAUCAACAUGUUUGCAUUGAAAGCAAAAAGACUAAGCUUCCUUUGAUUGGCUGGGUAAGAAACCUGAGACUCUCUCUGGGACUCAGAGGGACUGGAUGAAUAUACUCAAAAAAGAGAGCUAGACUGAGGAACCUGGCUUUAUUUCAGGGCGAGAGCUGUGUCUUCCAUGAUCCCCCUGAAGAAGAAUGGAGAAGCUUCUGGCCCUGUCUUUGGUGAUUCUGUGGCUUCAGCUGGCCAAGGUGAAUAACCAGCAAGGAAAACAGAAGCUUCAGACCCUGAGCAUCCAGGAGGGUGAAAAUGUCACCAUCAACUGCAGUUAUAAUAUUACUUUAACUGCCUUACAGUGGUACAGACAGGAUUCAAGACGAGGCUUUGUUCAUCUGAUUUUAAUGCGUUCAAAUGAGAGACAGACACAUAGUGGAAGACUGCACUUCACGCUUGACAACUCCAUCAAAAGCAGCUCCUUGUCCAUCACGGCUUCCCGGGCUGAGGACACUGCUACUUACCUCUGUGCUCCAGACACACAGUGCUCAGCUGGCACCCGCAGCCCCAGCGCAAACCUGCCAGAGCUGUCUCUUAGGAGCCGGGACAGUGUGCAGAGUUGGUGGUUUUGUCUUCCCUCAAAGGAGAGUCUGCAAACGGCUAGCAACACAAAAGGGAGCUCCUCUCAAAUUCCUGAGUUUUUGGUAGCAUGUCUAUAGUAAAGGGCAUGGGAUUUAGAAUGGGAAGCUGAAGUGCCCAAUUCAGCUCUACCCACCCUGGCUGUGUCUUUAGGUAUAUCAUGGGUGCAGCAGCCUUCAGUGUCCUCAGUUUAAACAAAGGAUUUAGACUGAUGAGCUUAAAGACCCUUCAAGUUCUAAUUUCACCAGGUCACUUCUGGAGGAUGAAGAAGGACUUCUCAGUAUUAGAAGGACUCAUCUGUUAUAUGUGCAGCCCCCUUAAGACAUACGUGGGGCUUUAAGAUGCAUGAGAUGAUUUUAGUAUUUCUCUAAUUCCUGUAUAGGAAACAGUAGAUUCAUCAGACAUUAGAAAUAAAAAGGAUUUAGGACUGUUUCCAUGAAACUUUUCACUUUAAAACUGAGGAGUGAAAAUGUUAUGUAA